UACAGAGGGGGCAAGCGUUGUUCGGAAUUACUGGGCGUAAAGGGCGCGUAGGCGGCCUUCUAAGUCGAACGUGAAAUCCCCGGGCUCAACCCGGGAACUGCGUCCGAUACUGGAAGGCUAGAAUCCGGGAGAGGGAUGCGGAAUUCCAGGUGUAGCGGUGAAAUGCGUAGAUAUCUGGAGGAAUACCGGUGGCGAAGGCGGCAUCCUGGACCGAUAUUGACGCUGAGGAGCGAAAGCCAGGGGAGCAAACGGG
rnacentral:rRNA from 1 species